UAGCAAGUGCGUCAUUUACGGGAUUUCAACUCCUCAUCAAUUCAUUUCCCUCCCACUCUCCCUCCCCCCAUUACUUCCAUCCUCUCUCCUCCCUUAGUAGUAACACUGCGUAACCCUAGCCGCCGCCUCACUCGAAGCUACUUCUACCGACCCUCAUCUCGAAUCGGUGACCAUCACGACGAGGGAAUCCCGGUGUAUACCCAGCAAAUUCAUUUUCGGACGGAAUCAGUUCAAUUAACGUCUGAUUUCGACUACGGGGUGAAAGCUCUUGAAGAACUUCCUACAAAAUGGUGAACAAACGAACCAUGUCGAAGAGGCCUGCUAGUCAACCGACAAGUACAACGCGCCCAAAAAAUCUUGGUGAUGAGGACUUUGAGGAUGACAUGCAACCUUUCCCUACCCAUGAUACAUUAUACAUGCAUAAUUGUACAUGACUUCAAAAUAUCAUUCAAUGCGACAUGAUGUAGCUAUAUAUGUACAUACAUUAUUCAAUAAUUUAAUUACAUUAAUGUCUGAGAUUCAUACAUUCAAA